GGUGCUCCAGUUUUCACAUAUUUUUUUUAUCGAUAUGUUUCUUUUUUCAUCGUUUCUGGCAAACAAAAACAGCUGACCUGGCUGCUUUGUAAAAAUACAGCGUGAUUAAAAUGCCUUUUAUUUUUUCAAUUGCUUGUUUUGAAGCAAAACGAUUGCAGAAAUUACGUGAUCUAAGAAGAUCUAGACAUCUUAGAUGCAACAUUUGUGUAUUUAACAUGUCUGACGAACUAUUUGUGAAGUCAUUUCGGAUCGACAAAAAAACUUUGUUGCAUGCGAAGAUAUCGAUAGGUGAUAUCCCAUAGAAGCGGUGAGGAGGAAAGAAGUUCGAACAUAGUGGCAAGGCCAAAAUUUAAGGGGAAAAGGUUAGCAAGAGUGGUGCCACCUGGUCCUGGAGAGUGAGAGUUCCGCGCGCUCUCCAGAGCCGUUAUGAGAGAAGAUUUCCGAUCUCAUCCCAUAACGGAGUCCCGAAGCCAACUCACCCACACCCCAAAGAAAGAGAGCCGCCAGCAGCCCGAAUCAGGCCAUGCCCUUGAACCUAGUUCAAGGGCGAUAGAAGAGAGAGCGAUGGGGAUCAGCGGCCCGGGAGCAUUAAACAGAGCAGCUAAGCCAAGAGGGGGUUCAGAGAAAGAAAUUCCCGCAACGGAGGAGCAUGCGCGCCGGACAUAGUGAUUUAGUGAUUUUUUUUUCUGAAAGAAAAAGGGAUCAAGAUCAGUGAAACACCAGGAACUUUAGAGCUGACCAGCGGGACGGAAAGUAGACCCAAAAAGCACAAGAGUGAGUCCGCUCCAAAGGUGGAGUAAAGAAACCCCAAAUUUAUUCUUUUUGUUGGCAAAUCCAUAGGGAAUAGGUCACAGCUCCGCCAUCCUGGCUUGCUUUUUGCUGGUCUCGAGGAAACUAUCCUGGCCACGUAGUGCGGGUCCCUCGCCCAUUUAGGGAGAGAGAAAAAAAGCAUCAAUUAACUUAUUUACUCCCAUUAUUUAUUUUUGUUAGACGUCUCCAUUUAUAUGUAUAUGUUAAUCCCCUAAUUUAAGUCCGCCC